AGGUUAACCGUAUAGGGGAGCCGUAGAGAAAUCGAGUCUUAAUAGGGCGUUUAGUUGCUGGGUAUAGACCCGAAACCAGGCGAUCUAUCCAUGAGCAGGUUGAAGGUUGGGUAACACUAACUGGAGGACCGAACCCACUGUCGUUGAAAAGCCAGGGGAUGACUUGUGGAUAGGGGUGAAAGGCUAAUCAAGCCUGGUGAUAGCUGGUUCUCCCCGAAAGCUAUUUAGGUAGCGCCUCGGACGAAUACCAUAGGGGGUAGAGCACUGUUUCGGCUAGGGGGUCAUCCCGACUUACCAAACCGAUGCAAACUCCGAAUACCUAUGAGUACUAUCCGGGAGACAGACUGCGGGUGCUAACGUCCGUAGUCAAGAGGAAAACAAUCCAGACCGCCAGCUAAGGCCCCAAAAUCAUAGUUAAGUGGGAAACGAUGUGGGAAGGCAUAGACAGCUAGGAGGUUGGCUUAGAAGCAGCCACCCUUUAAAGAAAGCGUAAUAGCUCACUAGUCGAGUCGGCCUGCGCGGAAGAUGUAACGGGGCUAAAA
rnacentral:rRNA from 1 species